rnacentral:rRNA from 1 species
UACGAAGGGGGCUAGCGUUGCUCGGAAUCACUGGGCGUAAAGGGUGCGUAGGCGGGUCUUUAAGUCAGGGGUGAAAUCCUGGAGCUCAACUCCAGAACUGCCUUUGAUACUGAGGAUCUUGAGUUCGGGAGAGGUGAGUGGAACGGCGAGUGUAGAGGUGAAAUUCGUAGAUAUUCGCAAGAACACCAGUGGCGAAGGCGGCUCACUGGCCCGACUAC